rnacentral:rRNA from 1 species
AGGAAAGGCUUAGGUGGAUACCUAGGCACCUAGAGACAAGGAAGGGCAUAGUAAUCGACAAAAUGCUUCGGGAAGUUGAAAAUAAGCAUAGAUCUAGAGAUUCCUGAAUAGGGAAACCUUUCAAACUACUGCUGAAUCCAUGGGUAGGCAAGAGACAAACUGGCGAACUGAAACAUCUUAAUAGCUAGAGAAAAACAAAGUUAAAUCGAUUCCCGUAGUAGCGGCGAGUGAAAUGGGAGCAGCCUAAAUUGUGAAAUCGGGGUUGUGGGAGAGCAAUACAAACAUCGUGCUGCUAGGCGAAGCGGCAAAAAUGCAGCACCCUAGAUGGCGAAAGUCCAGUAGCCGAAAGCAUCACUUGCUUAUGCUCUGACCUGAGUAGCAUGGGACACGUGGAAUCCCAUGUGAAUCAGCAAGGACCACCUUGCAAGGCUAAAUACUCCUGGGUGACCGAUAACGAAGUAGUACCUGAGGAAAAAGUGAAAAGAACCCCCAUCUGGGAGUGAAAUAGAACAUGAAACCGUAAGCUCCAACGUAGUGGGAGGAGCCAGGGCUCUGACCGCAUGUCUAUUGAAGAAUGAGCCGGCGACUCAUAGGUAGUGGCUUGGUUAAGGGAACCCACCAGAGCCACAGCGAAAGCGAGUCUUCAUAGGGUAAUGGUCACUGCUUAUGGACCCGAACUUGGGUGAUCUAUCCAUGACCAGGAUGAAGGGGUGAAACUAAGUGUUGAUCAGAACCGACUUAUGUUGAAGAAUUAGCGGAUGAGUUGUGGUUAGGGGUGAAAUUCCACUCGAAACCAGAGCUAGCUGGUUCUCCCCGAAAUACGUUGAGGCGCAGCAGUUGACUGGACAUCUAGGGGUAAAGCAUUGUUUCGAUGUGGGCCACGAGAGCAGUACCAAAUCGAGGUAAAUUCUGAAUACUAGAUAUGACCUAAAAAUAACAGGGGUCAAAGUCGACCAAUGAGAUGAUAGGGGAUAAGCUUCAUCAUCGAGAGGGAAACAGCCCGAAUCAACAACUAGGCCCCCAAAUGAUCGCUCAGUGAUAAAGGGGGUAGGGGUGCAGAGACAGUCAGGAGGUUUGCCUUGAAGCAGCCACCAUUGAAAGAGUGCGUAAUAGCUCACUGAUCGAGCGAUCUUACGCCAAAUAUGAACCGGGCUAAGUGAUCUGCCAAAGCUGUGGGAUGUAAAAAUACAUCGAUAUGGGAGCAUUCUGUCUUAGAGGGAAGCCUCCACGCGAGCAGCGGUGGACGAAGCGGAAGCGAGAAUGUCGGCUUGAGUAACGUAAACAUUAGUGAGAAUCCAAUGCCUCGAAAACCUAAGGGUUCCUCCGCAAGGUUCAUCCAUAGAAUGUGAGUCAGGGCCUAAGAUCAUGCCAAAAGGCGUAGUCGAUGGACAACAGGUGAAUAUUCCUGUACUAUCCCUUGUUGGUCCAGAGGGAUGGAGCAGGCUAGGUUAGCCGAAAGAUGGUUAUCGUUUCAAGAACGUAAGGUGCCCCUGCUUUUUUAGGGUAAGAAGGGGUAGACAAAAUGCCUCGAGCCAAUGUUCGAGCACCAGGCGCUACGGCGCUGAAGUCCCACACAAUACUCCCAGGAAAAGCUCAAACAACCUUAAAAUAUAAACAAAAGGGUACCUGUACCAGAAACCGAUACAGGUGGGUAAGUAGAGAAUACCUAGGGGCGUGAGGCAACACUCUCUAAGGAACUUGACAAAAUAGCCCCAUAACUUCAGGAGAAGGGGUGCCUCCUCACAAAGGGGGUCGCAGUGACCAGGCCCGUGCGACUGUUUACCAAAAGCACAGGUCUCCACAAAGUCGUAAGACCAUGUAUGGGGACUGACGCCUACCUAGUGCCGGAAGGUCAAGAAAGUUAGUGACCUAAUGACAGGGGAGCAGGCGACCAAAGCCUUGGCGAACGGUGGCCGUAACUAUAACAAUCCUAAGGUAGCAAAAUUCUUUAUCGAGUAAGUUCCGACCCACACGAAAGGCGUAACGAUCUGGGCACUGUCUCGGAGAGAGGCUCGAUGAAAUAGACAUGUCUGUGAAGAUGCGGACUACCUGCACCUGGCUAGAAAGACCCUAUGAAGCUUGACUAUUCCCUGGGAUUGGGUUUGGGCCUUUCCUGCGCAGCUUAGGUGGAAGGCUAAGAAGGCCUCCUUCCGGGGGGCCCGAGCCAUCAGUGAGGUACUACUCUAGAAGAGCUAGAAUUCUAACCUUGUGUUAGGACCUACGGGCCAAGGGACAGUCUCAGGUAGAUAGUUUCUAUGGGGCGUAGGCCUCCCAAAAGGUAACAGAGUCGUGCAAAUGUUUCCUCGGGCCGGACGGAGAUUGGCCCUCAUGGGCAAAGGCAGAAGAGAGCUUGACUGCAAGACCCACCCGUCGAGCAGAGACGAAAGUCGGCCUUAGUGAUCCGACGGUGCCGAGUGGAAGGGCCGUCGCUCAAUGGAUAAAAGUUACUCUAGGGGUAAUAGGUUGAUCUUCCCCAAGAGCUCACAUCGACGGAAAGGUUUGUCACCUCAAUGUCGGCUCUUCACCACCUGGGGCUGUAGUAUGUUCCAAGGGUUGGGUUGUUCGCCCAUUAAAGUGGUACGUGAGUUGGGUUCAGAACGUCGUGAGAUAGUUUGGUCCAUAUCCGGUGUGGGCGUUAGAGCAUUGAGAGGAACUUUCCCUAGUAUGAGAGGACCGAAAUGGACGCACCUUUGGUGUACUAGUUAUCGUGUCCACGAUAAACGCUGGGUAGCCAAGUGCGGAGCAGAUAACUGCUGAAAGCAUCUAAGUAGUAAGCCCACCCCAAGAUGAGUGCUCUCCUAUUCUGACUUCCUCAGAGCUUCCGAUAGCACAGUCGAGGCAGUGAUGGGUUCUCUGCCCCUGUGGGGAUGGAGCGACAGAAGUUUUGAGAAUUCAAGAGAAUGUCACGGCGAGACGAGCCAUUUAUCAUUACGAUAGGUAUCAAGUGGAAGUGCAGUGA